UCAACGUCACUUGCUUCUUC
rnacentral:siRNA from 1 species